rnacentral:lncRNA from 1 species
CCGAUCGUCUCUCUCUCUCUAUUUGUUGACUGGCUUGCGCUCGUGAUGAAAUUUUCUUACAUGUGUCUGUGUGUAGUGGCGGUCCGGCGGAUGUAGGCCCUGUUUGUAUACGCUUUUCCUAGCCACGCUUAGAUUAUAAUCUAAGCAAAGAUUUUCUCGCUUCUCGCUUUUCGCUUCUCGUAGUUCAAAUCGUUGAAGCGGCUUACCACAUAAGCGAGAAUCGGUGGAAAUAAGCAAAGCGUUUGGCGGGAUUCUCGCUUAUUUCCACCGAUAAGCCGCUUAUAAGCGGAUACAAACGGGGCCGUAGUCCCUUCCAGCGGAGACGCGUCAGCUAGCUCGUACCUCUCCAUGUUGGAUUCGUUCCGCCGUGGAAGAGAAAGAAAGAGAAAGGGAGAAAAACUCGACGCUAGCG